rnacentral:rRNA from 1 species
UGCCAGCCGCCGCGGUAAUACGGAGGGGGCUACCGUUGUUCGGAAUUACUGGGCAUAAAGCGCACGUAGGCGGUUCACUAAGUUUGACGUGAAAGCCCUCGGCUCAACCGAGGAAUUGCGUCGGAUACUGGUGGACUUGAGGUCGGUUGGGGUGAGUGGAACUCCUGGUGGAGCAGUGAAAUGCGUAGAUAUCAGGAGGAACACCAGUGGCGAAAGCGGCUCACUGGACCGAUCCUGACGCUGAGGUGCGAAAGCUAGGGUAGCGAACGGGAUUAGAUA